rnacentral:rRNA from 1 species
CCUACGGGAGGCAGCAGUGGGGAAUCUUGCGCAAUGGGCGAAAGCCUGACGCAGCAACGCCGCGUGCGGGAAGAAGGCUUUCGGGCUGUAAACCGCUUUCAGCAGGAACGAAAAUGACGGUACCUGCAGAAGAAGGAGCGGCCAACUAUGUGCCAGCAGCCGCGGUGAUACAUAGGCUUCAAGCGUUGUCCGGAUUUAUUGGGCGUAAAGAGUUCGUAGGCGGUCGAGUAAGUCGGGUGUGAAAAUUCUGGGCUCAACCCAGAGACGCCACCCGAUACUGCUUAACUUGAGUUCGAUAGGGGAGUGGGGAAUUCCUAGUGUAGCGGUGAAAUGCGCAGAUAUUAGGAGGAACACCGGUGGCGAAGGCGCCACUCUGGAUCGAUACUGACGCUGAGGAACGAAAGCAUGGGUAGCAAACAGGAUUAGAUACCCUGGUAGUCCAUGCCGUAAACGGUGGGCACUAGGUGUGGGAUUCUAUUAACGAAUUCCGCGCCGUCGCUAACGCAUUAAGUGCCCCGCCUGGGGAGUACGGUCGCAAGACUAAAACUCAAAAUGAAAUUGACGG